UUGUACGAUUAUAGAAUACUUACAUUAUGUGCACAGAAUUUUGCUGAUUUAUCAGAUGUGAAUUACUUGUUUGCGUUGAAGCUUGGACCAAACCUCCCGAACUUCAGCAUUCCACAGUGAAGUUUGAAGACGUUGGAGGUAGUGAAGAAACUCUGAUGCUUGGACCAAACCUCCCGGACUUCAGCAUUCCACAGUGAAGUUUGAAGACGUUGCUUGAAGUCAAUGGCAGCCCAUAGAACCCCGGGGGAGCUAGAUCAACUGCUGUCUCUGCUGAGAAACAGCGAAUCUCCAAGUGAGGAACAGCUUGCUGAUCUCUGCAUCGUCAUGGAUGACUUCAAGGAGUCUUUGGCACGGGUCCAACCAUUUGCCAAACGUGAAGGUUUCGCCACUGUGCCUGAUGUCACCUGGGAUGAUGUCGGUGCACUGCAAGACAUUCGGGAGGAACUCACCAAGGCCAUUUUGACCCCUUUACGUUUUCCAGAGCAGUUCAAAGCUAUGGGAUUGAGUGGCCCUUCCAGAGUGUUGCUUGCUGGACCUCCAGGCUGUGGAAAGACUCUUCUUGCCAAAGCUGUUGCCAACGCGGCUGGUUUAAACUUUAUAUAUGUCAAUGGCCCCGAGCUACUGAACAUGUAUGUUGGUAAAAGUGAACGGGCAGUUCGCCAGGUGUUCCAGAGAGGACAAAAGGCUGCCCCCUGUCUCAUCUUUUUCGACGAGUUUCAUGCCCUUUGCCCCAGACGUUCUGUCCAUCAGUCUGGAGCCAGUGUGCGUGUGUUGUACCAGUUGCUGACCGAGAUGGAUGGGUUGGAGAUGCGUCGCCAGGUUUUCAUCAUGGCCGCCACCACCCGGCCAGAUAUCAUUGAUCCAGCAUUUCUUCGACCGGGCCGUUUAGACAAAAAAUUGUAUGUGGGUUUGCCUUCACCAGAAGACAGACACGCCAUAUUGCUCACUAUUACCAAGGGAGGAACUAAACCUCGCCUGGACUUGGAUGUGAACUUGGAGGAAAUUGCCCGUGAUGAACGUUGUGACUGUUUCACUGGGGCAGACUUGUCAGCACUGGUGAGAGAGGCUUCGUUUAACGCGUUAAAUGCCCAUCUCUACUCUCAGACAGCUAUACCACAUGCAGGUCCAUGUGACUUACGAGUCAGCAAGCAGAAUUUUGAAGAGGCGUUCAAGAAGGUGCGGCCGUCCGUGUCCAAAGAGACAAAUUUCCCACCCUUCCCUCGCCAGAUGAGUGUCGUAUAGUGAGAUUUUUUUUUUGCUUUGCUGGAGCAACAUCAGCUCUGGCUCCUUGUUUGUGGUUGCAGAAAUAAACAGGACCAGCUCAUGUACGAGAAACUGCGUAAAUCUCUCACUGGGCAGUAGCCGAGCGGACGGAGAGUGUUGCUUUUCCUGUGUUAAAAUAAACAUUUUUUUCGAGUUCACAA